AUUGAACGCUGGCGGCAGGCUUAACACAUGCAAGUCGAGCGGAGAUGAGGUGCUUGCACCUUAUCUUAGCGGCGGACGGGUGAGUAAUGCUUAGGAAUCUGCCUAUUAGUGGGGGACAACAUUCCGAAAGGAAUGCUAAUUCCGCAUACGUCCUACGGGAGAAAGCAGGGGAUCUUCGGACCUUGCGCUAAUAGAUGAGCCUAAGUCGGAUUAGCUAGUUGGUGGGGUAAAGGCCUACCAAGGCGACGAUCUGUAGCGGGUCUGAGAGGAUGAUCCGCCACACUGGGACUUAGACACGGCCCAGACUCCUACGGGAGGCAGCAGUGGGGAAUAUUGGACAAUGGGGGGAACCCUGAUCCAGCCAUGCCGCGUGUGUGAAGAAGGCCUUAUGGUUGUAAAGCACUUUAAGCGAGGAGGAGGCUACUGAGACUAAUACUCUUGGAUAGUGGACGUUACUCGCAGAAUAAGCACCGGCUAACUCUGUGCCAGCCGCCGCAGUAAUAC
rnacentral:rRNA from 1 species